CCCUCCCCGCUCUCUCUCUCUAACGAUAAAAAUUCUCCCUCAAAGGGUCGCCUCAAAACGAAACCCUCAUUUUUUUUUCUUCCCUGAAAAUCCCCAAACCCCUCAAAACCCCUCCAAAAUUAAAAAUCCCCAAAUUUCAGAAUCCAGAAUCCCUAACUCAGAGAGAGAGAGAGAGAUUUAUAGCUCAAAUCUAGACAAUAUUAUUAUAAGCAAUGGAUUCAGAUCAGGGAAAGCUAUUUAUUGGAGGGAUUUCAUGGGAGACAUCAGAGGAGAAGCUCAGAGACUACUUUGGGCAAUACGGAGACGUUUUGCAGGCUGUCGUUAUGAAAGAUAAGACUACUGGUAGACCUAGAGGCUUUGGCUUUGUCGUCUUUGCAGAUCCUGCCGUGCUUGAUAUGGUUCUUCAAGAUAAGCACACCAUUGAUGGUAGAAUGGUUGAGGCAAAGAGGGCCUUAUCAAGAGAGGAGCAGCAAACCAAUGCAAGGGCCGGAAACCUGAAUCCUGCUAGAAACACCAGCGUUGGUGGAAAUAUUCGGACCAAGAAGAUAUUUGUUGGAGGAUUGCCUCCCACUCUAACUGAAGAUGGAUUUCGUCAGUAUUUUGAAGCCUUUGGCUUUGUUGCUGAUGUAGUAAUAAUGUAUGACCAGAGCACCCAGCGACCUCGUGGAUUUGGCUUUAUUUCUUUUGACACCGAAGAUGCAGUUGACCGGGUGUUACAGAGAACGUUCCAUGAUUUGAACGGUAAGCAAGUUGAAGUAAAACGGGCUCUUCCUAAAGAGGCCAAUCCUGGUGGGGGUGGCCGCUCCAUGGGUGGCAGUUACCAGAACUAUGGUGCAUCUGGUGGCAACACAAGCUCAUAUGAUGGUCGAAUGGAGAGGUAUAUGCAGCCUCAAGGUACUGGAGGUGGUUUUCCUCCUUAUGGCUCAUCUGGCUAUAGCACAGCUGGAUAUGGAUAUGGUCCUGCCACUAAUGGUGUUGGUUAUGGUGGUUAUAGCGGCUAUACUGGAGCUGGAGCUGGUUAUGGGGGACCUGCAGGUGCAGCUUAUGGGAAUCCUAAUGUUCCAAAUGCUGGCUACAUAAGUGGUGCACCCGGUGCACCCAGAAGUUCAUGGAACAGUCAAGGUUCAUCUGGCUAUGGUGCUAUGGGUUAUGGGAAUGCUGCUUCUUGGGGUGCUCAAAAUGCUGGGGCUGGCAGUGGUGGCCCUGGUUCAGUACCUGCUGGUCAAUCUCCUGGUGGAGCCGCUGGGUAUGGGAAUCAAGGUUAUGGGUACAGUAGUUACGGUGGAAAUGAUGGAUCAUAUGGGAAUCCAGCUGGGUAUGGUGCUGUUGGAGGACGUUCUGGGGGCACUCCAAACAGUAAUGUUGGUGGUCCUGGUGGAGCAGAACUACAGGGGAGUGGCGGUGGCUACAUGGGGAGUGGAUAUGGUGAUGCAAAUGGAAAUUCUGGGUAUGGAAAUGCAGCAUGGAGAUCUGAGCAAUCACAAGCUUCUGGAAAUUAUGGGGCUCCUCAAGCAAAUGGUCCUCAUGGUGGACAGGUUGGAUAUGGUGGUGGUUAUGGUAGUUCUCAGGCUCGAAAAGCCCAACAACAGUGAUUUGUGAUCACCUUGGUUGUCUACUAGGUCUUCAUCUUUGUUUGUGGGCGUGUCCAGCUGUUCUCAUGAGGUUCUCCUAAGAUUUCUUGCUCCCUUGCUCCCAGCACCAGGGGGGAGGCUCAAAUUGGAUGAUGCACUUUGGGAAUGGAGGAGAUGCCCAAGUUCUAAGGUGGAGUCAAAGUGUCCACUCAUGGCUGAACCCGAGCUUCCUAGUGGGGGUUGGUCAGCGUGGAAGUGAAUUUGAAGAGGACUUGUCAGUUGGAUUUGUGAUUAACCCAAGAAAGGCUUUUUCCAGCUAGGUGAUGCCACUGUCACCCUUUCUUGCAGAUUCUUGGCAUUGGAAGUCAUAAAUUUCUCGAUCAUUCCGAUUUCUUUUGGACUGAUGGAUAUGUAAGACAAAACAGCUUGUGGUAUGUUGGCUUAAUCAGUUAGCUGUGUUAUAUGUCAAAGAUCUUACUACCUAAUUGCGUAGGCUAGAUAGUUAUGCGCUGGACUAGAUUGUGUUCCAAUUGUUCAGAGCACCAGAAACAUUAUCAAUAGAAAAUGCUCGUAGAUCUUGGAAUGCCAUUGAUGGCUUUAAUUACAUUUUAUGGCAACUUAUCUUUAUUAGGAAACAAGAUAAAUGUUCAAAUGGUGUUUUGCUCGUCUAA